CCUCCACGUGCCUAUAUGACCACCUUACAACGCCUGUGCAUGCUCCUGAUGAGGUGGCGGAUGGUCUCCUGAGGGAUCUCCUCCAGGACCUGGACUAAAGCAUCUGCCAACUCCUGGACAGUCUUUGGUGCAACGUGACGUUGGUGGAUGGAGCGAGACAUGAUGUCCCAGAUGUGCUCAAUUGGAUUCAGGUCUGGGGAACGGGCGGGCCAGUCCAUAGCUUCAAUCCCUUCGUCUUGCAGGAACUGCUGACACACUCCAGCCACAUGAGGUCUAGCAUUGUCUUGCAUUAGGAGGAACCCAGGGCCAACAGCACCAGCACAUGUUCUCACAAGGGGUCUGAGGAUCUCAUCUCGGUACCUAAUGGCAGUCAGGCUACCUCUGGCAAUCACAUGGAGGGCUGUGCGGCCCCCCAAAGAAAUGCCACCCCACACCAUUACUGACCCACUACCAAACUGGUCAUGCUGGAGUAUGUUGCAGGCAGCAGAAUGUUCUCCACGGCGUCUCCAGAC